GUUGACUCUGCUUCUGAGGGAGAGGAGGACUCUAGCAAGCAAAUUUCAGAGGCUCCUCAACCCCUAAAUGGACAUAAGCAGGGAUCAAGGAAGCAUAGAAGUAGAUCCGUGGCCCUCCGAGACCCAUCCCGAGUGCUAGGGAGUCGAGAAUACUCAAAUUUACUUUCUCACGGAAGUGAUGUCGUCGUUUUUUGCCUGGAACAUGCGGGGGUUCAGUCAGCCUCGCAAGCAUAAUGUAGUUAGAAAUUGGAUUCAAGCACUGCG
rnacentral:lncRNA from 1 species